UUUAACCAAAAUUUAGUGUUAUAUGGGGAACAUAUAGAAAAUAUUUUGACAGGGUUUUAUAACUGUGGUAGAAAUGGGAUCCUAAAAUUCACAUCUCAAUCUUCUGUGACCCUUUUGGAGAAUUUAGGUUGUCACACUGUUAUUUUAUAUAGUUCUGGGAACCUAGAGGGCAGGUCUGUCUCUGCACAGUGUACAUAGACACAUAGUUCAGAUUAAAGAGUGAUAAUGGGGUUGAAGAGUAGAUUUAAGGAUGUUUAAAUCGGGGUUUCUGUCCUGGCUUAGUGGUUAAUGAACCCAACUAGCAUCUGUGAGGACUCCGGUUCAAUUUCUGGCCUCGCUCAGUGGGUUGAGGAUCCGGGGUUGCCAUGAGCUGUGGUGUAGGCUGACAGCUGUAGCUCCCAUUCGACCCCUAGCCUGGGAACUUCCAUAUGUUGCAGGCGUGGCCCUAAAAAGCAAUAAUAAUAAUAAUAAUACAUAUAAAUAAAUAAAUAAAUAUUAUGACUGAAAGCCACUGUUCAGGCUAAGUUAAUCUUCCAGAUCAAGAAAGCUUCAGAUAAUGAGAAUUUUAAAGGUCUUAUAAUUAUUUUGAUAACAAGACCAUUUACUUUUUCUUUCAGAGGUGGCAGUGGCUAAUUCCAGAACAGUUCCUUAUCUCUUGCCAUGUUUCAUUACUUUUCUCCUUAUUUUAAAAAGGCAUUUUUCUCUGUAUUUAGAGAUUGUAAUACCCAGGAGAUCUUCUCACUGGCCUUCCCAGUCUAUGGACCCUAUUUUGAGUGCCCUUUAUAUAUUUAUGUAGUGUCCUUCACAAAGGGCAACAGGAUCAAUUUAAAAAGCUGUGUGUCUUGAAUGGAGUUUUGAAAUCAAGUAUACAGAGAAAUGCUAGAUCGCAUUCUGCCCCAGGUCUUGUUGUGAUUUAAUCACAUUCAUAGGAAACAAUAUUGAUUUCUACGGGCAGCUUGUAAUAAGUUCAGGAAUUGCAAGCCUAAGCAACAUUACUGUGCAACUAAUGAAUAUACAAACAUAAAACACUGUAUGGAUAUGCUUAGAGUUAUGCCAAAAUUCUAAAAAGAUUAAAUUGCUUCAAACUAUACCUCAAAUACUCACAGGCCUAGUGCAAAGACACACAUGGGUUCUAGAAAUAUAUAAACAAUACCUUCCCUUAAGCAAAGUGAUAAAAUCAAAUCUUUUGGAAACUGAUCAAGGACAGCCCAAAACUUAAUUGAAGAAGGUAUGUUUUUAAAAAUGUUUUCAUUGGCUAUACCCCAAUUUAAAAAAUAAAUAAAAUUUUAAAAAUAGAACAAAAAUCUUUAAAAAUAAUAUAGAGAUUACUAUUUUUUUUUGAAGUAAGCAAUGGUUUAAUUUUGAAAUCUGAAUCCUUUGAAAAAUUAAUCUGAGGUCAGAAUGUUUAAAAUCUUUUUUGACCUUUAGCUUGUCCAUCUGCCAGAGCUUUGUCCUAAAACC
rnacentral:lncRNA from 1 species